UACGUAGGGGGCAAGCGUUGUCCGGAAUCAUUGGGCGUAAAGAGCGUGUAGGCGGCUCGAUAAGUCUGCUGUGAAAGUCCAGGGCUCAACCCUGGAAUGCCGGUGGAAGCUGUCGGGCUAGAGUCCGGAAGAGGAGAGUGGAAUUCCCGGUGUAGCGGUGAAAUGCGCAGAUAUCGGGAAGAACACCCGUGGCGAAGGCGGCUCUCUGGGACGGUACUGACGCUGAGACGCGAAAGCGUGGGGAGCGAACAGG
rnacentral:rRNA from 1 species